CCAAAGCGGGCAGUGUCGCUAGCUGUCCAGCCUGCUGUGGAAGGGUUCCCCCGUCGUGGUGGCCGGAGCCACCCCUGAGCCAGCACCAGCCACUGGCAGGGACCCAGCACGGAAGGCGGAGCUCAGGGUCACACUGUGCCGCAGGAGGAGGAGCUGGGGGUGUGUGGCCACAAUGUCAGCGCUGCUGGGGGGGCCAGGCAGGAUGUCAGGCGGUGGGCGUGACAGCGCCCGCCCUCGCCUCCCUGCCAGAGUGGCAGGCAGCCCCUUCUUUUUGCUGCAGCCAUGUCCCCUGUCCUCCCCUCAGGAGUGCUGACCUGCAGUGCCCACCACCUGCAGCCGCCCGAAAUGCAGGCCUAAGACGGAACUCGGGAAAAGGACGAGGCACCCUCUUGUGCCUCAGAGCACGUGAUUUGUGGGAAAUCUGUCCCUGGCGCUAGGAGGGCCUCUCCUGGUGCCUUCUGCUCCGUGACGGAGGGGACAGCCGGCUAAAGCUUCCACUCUGCAGCCCUGCUCAGCAGGCCUCGGUGCUGGACAUCUUGAUGCCCGAGGGGCCUCCCUCCCCUCCCCAGACUGAGCUGAGAAAGCACCCCUCCCUGGACCUCGGGUUCAGCCUGGCCUGAAACCGGAAGGAGGGAGGCUGGCCGUGGUCUUGACCAAAGGCCCCUCGUCCCUCCUGCGACUGAGUCCAGGAUCCCAGAGAACUGUGCUUCCUGCCAGGCCAAGCGGGCAGCAGUCAGUAGUGAAGGACUGGGAGGAGCAGAAGGGUCCCAGCUCCAGGCCGUUCAGGGUGACGGUGGCACUGGGGAGCCCAGGUGGCCUCUGCAGACAUCUCCUGGGACCUACCCCUCGUCCCCUAAGCUGGUACCUCGGACUGCGCGGCCCUGGUUCAGGGGGAGGAGACGAGAUGCCUCUUUCGACAUUGGUUCUAAAACACGUUCCUGUUUCAGAAACACUGGAGUGUGAAUUAUAUACCGUGGCCAGUGUGGGCUCAGAGGGGACGUUCUGGACGUAGGUUUCAGCUGGAGGGAAGUGGGCUAAGAGAAAAGGCUCCACUCUACCCAGAAGGGGCCCAAGAUGGGUACUCGGACGCAGGGAGAGACAUCCAGGAACCCCGGGAAGGCCGGCAAGUGUGGGCACAGGUCCUGGGGUUCUGAGCACCUUGGGUUUUCUUCUUGGUGUUGUUCUGUUUCUGAUUUCCUGAGGUUGUACCCGGACAACUAACACAACAGUAGCUGCCAGCAUCUUCCCACAUCAGCACUUCACACUUUGAGCCUCCCAAGAGCCCACUGGGACAGGAACGCUGGGGAUCGCCAUUUGCAGACUAGAAGUCUGAGGCUCAGAGAGAUGGACCAAUUUUCCCAGGGCCACACAGCUAUCUCUGGUGGAGCUGGGAUCAAACCCUUCAUUCUGACCCCAGAACAGAGGUGAUUUUUAAGACCACGGGUGAGUUUAACUCAAAGGAGCAAGAGAGCAUCCAAGGGAGGUGCUGCUCUUGGUCGUGUUGACCACAGUGCCUGCCCCAACCCUCACCCCACCCCAGAGACCUAGGGCUGGAGGCAGGACCUCCGGGGAGUCCCGAAGAAGCACCGUGUCUCGUGAGCUGAGCACCAUGACGGGGCUGGGAAGGCCAGUGGGGAGUGCUGGGCCACCAGCCCUACCCCCAGGUGUGCCAGGGUGGUGCUUGGCCCCUGGAGGCCGGGGAGGAGAGCCAAGGCCAGGCACCUGGUGCUGCGCGGGGCUGGAUGCCUUGCCUUGGGGCUGGGUCUUGUUUUGUCAGCGUCCUCGGAGGUCACCCUGCAGCAUCGCUUCUCGGCUGGGAAGCCACGGGAGCUGGGAGCCCCCCCCCCCCCACAGGGAGGGCAGGGCCACCUCCUGGGGCAGAGCUGACCCUCUUUCUCCAGGAGACCCCAAGAAACCACCCCAAAUAAACCAGGAGGCUGCUGGGACACUGAAGCAGGAGCUCAGGGAAGCCCGGGCCUGGGGAGGAGUCACUGUCCUGGGCACAGCUACCCCAGCAGGCUCCUCAAGGGCCGGGCACCGCAUCCCCCACCUGUGCAUCGGCAGGACUGUCCCCAAGGUACAGAUCGGGGAGGCUGAGGCUCGGAAGCCAGGUGUCUUGGCCCAGGCAACAUCCCUGUCCAAGCUUGGGUCACACCGUGGCUCCUGUAAACCCCCAAGCCUCGGAACCCUUCAGGAUCUGAUAAAAGUACAGACUUCCCUGUAAAGACAUGGUCCCUGGCAUUUAUGGGUGGAAUGUACGGAAAUUCAGGGAGUCCCUGCGAAUCGCUCAUGAGACGCUCAGAAGAGCCCCUGCCUGGGGCUGUCCAGUCCUUGGGACCAACACUCCCCACGGGGUUGGAAGGCCCCGGCUGCGCCCACGGCCUGGCUGCUGGAAGCUCCUUUGCCAACUCAACCCUGCAGGACCCGUGCUCUGGGGAGGACGGAACCCUUUGGAUUCUAGUGCACCUGCCGGGCAGCCCCCUCCUGUUACAGAGGCGGUCCCCCAUCUCUGCACCGUGGCGGUCCCUUCCUGCACUCCUCGAUGGCAGGAAACACUGAGCACCCAGCACAUGCAGUGGCUCCUGCCUGUAAUUUCACCCUCACGAUGGUGCGGAAGCCACACCAUUCAUUUCUGAAUUGACCUUUCCCUGGGCCAAGCAGUCUUUUGUCCCCGGGCAGCAGGAGUGAGCCCAGCCUGCCUCAGCUCUGUCACCUGGAGGCUGACAGCCUGUCCACACUCUCUGGUGGACAGUGGUGCUCAUUAAAUGCACUUUCUGCUUAGGGUGCCUUCCACGUGGGAUGGGUUUGCUCGUGUGCCCAGCGUGUCUGCGUUGCCGCUGGCUUCCCCCCAGCUAGCAGCCGCGGAUCCUCAGACUGCCUCUCCAGAGCGUUUGGAUCAUGGACCCUCAGAAACUUCCCGAGGACUGCGUGUGAAGUAUGUGCACUUAUUUUUACUUUUUAGUUGUAGGUGGACACAACAUCUUUAUUUUAUUCGUGUUUUUAUGUGGUGCUGAGGACCGAACCCAGUGCCUCGCACGUGCAAGGCGAGCGCUCUGCCCUGAGCCCCAGCCCAGCCCUGCAGUACAACCUGCGGACACAUCACGGUUCUCAUAUUCUAGGCACAACAGGAAGCCCCUAUCAAAGUGGGAAUUCUUCCCAUUUUUUAACUUGGUGCAUCACAGUGGUGCGCACUGGUGGGGCUCCGUGCUGCGUGACUGUACCUGCGCCCAGCGUGACAACAUGAGGUGGCAGCGUCCCUCCCCCGCAGCCCCCUCCCUCAGGCCUUCCCUCCCCCCAGGCCCUCUCCUCCCUGAUCUCCUUUGGUUCCAGGAGACCCACCCCACUUUCCUUCCCCUUUUCCUCUCCAGGUUCCGCAUACAGGAGAGGUCCUGUGUCCCCCACCUUCUGAGUCUGGCCGACUUUGCAAACACGACAGUCACCAGUUCCAUCCAUUUCCCUGCAAAUGCCACGAUUUCAUUCUCUUUAUGGCUGAGAACACGUCACUGUGUAUGUACCCUGUUUUCUCUGUCCACUCAUCCUGUGAGGACACCUAGGCUGGUGCCGCAGCUCGGCUAUUGCGCUCUGUGCUGCUGGGACCCCGGUGGGCUGUCUCCCUGUCCCACGUAGGAUGUCCUUGAUCCUUCAGCGAAACCCUGAGGCGUGUGUCCCCGGGGCCUGGGGUGGAGCCUCCACACUGAUGUCCAUGGUGGCUGUGUUCAUUGACAGUCCACCCACAGUGUCCACUGCUCCCCCCCACCAGCCUUUAGUGUUACUUGUGUUCUUGAUUCAGCCUCUGACUGGAGUAAGAUGAAAUCUCAGUGUGGUUUUGAUUUGCAUUUCCUUAACUGCAUUUCUCCUUUUGAGAAGUCUUUUAAUUCGUUUGCCCAUAUAUUAAUUGGGGUUAUCUGAUUUUUUGGUGUGAAGUUUUCUGAGUUCUUUAUAUAUUCCAGACACUGCCUGUGUCUAAAAGUGGAGUGGUGACCCUACGUUUUCUUCUAGGAGUUGCCUAGUUUCUCAUCUAUUUGAGUUGAUUUUCGUGCUGGGUGAGAGGUGAGGGUCCAGGCUCCCUCACUGCAUGUGGACAACCAGUUGUCCCGUGUGUUCAAAAGGCUGCCUUUUCUCCAGGUCAGUGUGUGGCUCCUUCGUCAGGGGUCAGAUGACUGAGGUGUGUGGACUUGUCCCUGGGCCUCCUGUUCUGUACCAGUGGCCUGUGUGUCUGUUUUUAUGCUGGUACCAUGUACUUUUGUUAUCAACGCGGGGAUUUUUAAAAUGCUGAGUAAAAGAUG
rnacentral:lncRNA from 1 species